GAUGAACGCUGGCGGCGUGCUUAACACAUGCAAGUCGAACGAGGUCCAACCUUCGGGUGAAGACCUAGUGGCGAACGGGUGAGUAACACGUGGGGAACCUGCCCUUCUCUCUGGGAUAACGUCGAGAAAUCGGUGCUAAUACCGGAUACUCCUUGCGGAUCGCAUGGUCUGCUCGGGAAAGCUCCGGCGGAGAUGGAUGGCCCCGCGGCCCAUUAGCUAGUUGGUGAGGUAACGGCCCACCAAGGCGACGAUGGGUAGCCGAGCUGAGAGGCUGGUCGGCCACACUGGGACUGAGACAUGGCCCAGACUCCUACGGGAGGCAGCAGUGGGGAAUUUUGCACAAUGGGCGCAAGCCUGAUGCAGCAACGCCGCGUGCGGGAUGAAGGCCCUCGGGUUGUAAACCGCUUUCAGCAGGGACGAAACUGACGGUACCUGCAGAAGAAGCCCCGGCUAACUACGUGCCAGCCGCCGCCGUAA
rnacentral:rRNA from 1 species